rnacentral:rRNA from 1 species
UACGAAGGGGGAAAGCGUUGUUCGGAGUUACUGGGCGUAAAGCGUGCGUAGGCGGUGGGGUGCGUCGUGACUGAAAGCGCCGGGCUACACCCGGAGAGGCGUCGCGAUACGACCUGACUGGAGGCAGGGAGAGGAUGGCAGAAUUCCGGGUGUAGGGGUGAAAUGCGUAGAGAUCCGGAGGAAUGCCGGUGGCGUAGCCGGCCAUCUGGCCCUGACCUGACGCUGAGGCACGAAAGCGUGGCGAGCGAACCGG